CCUGGUGUGGCUGGCGCCGGCGCUGCUGGCGAUGUCGGCGGCGCAGAGCGCGGCGUUCGACUCGACGUACCCGAUCC
rnacentral:tRNA from 1 species